AGUCGUAACAAGGUAUCCGUAGGUGAACCUGCGGAUGGAUCAUUACCAAAGUGACCCAUCCCACUAUUUGUGAACUGGUAUUAACACGGUUGGCACGGGCCCAGGGCGUUACUCGCGCCUUGGGCACCGAAUACGAGAGGCUCUGUGUUCUCCAAAGGGGCACUUAGUCGUUGUUGCACUCGGGGUCUUUACGGAUUCCGGGUUGAAGGGUCACUCCUGAUAUAUAAUCUUGAAGCCGAACGCCUCUAGGCCCGAGAUUAUAGCAAUGGCAUCGUUCUUUCGGGUGUCAGCCGUACAUUCUUAACGUAUUAAAGAUGAACUGAAGUAAAAAUAAUGAACCUAAAGAAAACUUUUAGCAAUGGAUCUCUAGGCUCUU
rnacentral:misc_RNA from 1 species